rnacentral:rRNA from 1 species
AUUGAACGCUGGCGGCAGGCCUAACACAUGCCAGUCGAACGGUAACAGGAAGAAGCUUGCUUCUUUGCUGACGAGUGGCGGACGGGUGAGUAAUGUCUGGGAAACUGCCUGAUGGAGGGGGAUAACUACUGGAAACGGUAGUUAAUACCGCAUAACGUCGCAAGACCAAAGAGGGGGACCUUCGGGCCUCUUGCCAUCGGAUGUGCCCAGAUGGGAUUAGCUAGUAGGUGGGGUAACGGCUCACCUAGGCGACGAUCCCUAGCUGGUCUGAGAGGAUGACAGGCCACACGGGACCUGAGACACGGUCCAGACUCCUACGGAAGGCGGAGGUGGGAAAUAUUGCACAAUGGGCGCAGCCUGAUGCAGCCAUGCCGCGUGUAUGAAGAAGGCCUUCGGGUUGUAAAGUACUUUCAGCGGGGAGGAAGGGAGUAAAGUUAAUACCUUUGCUCAUUGACGUUACCCGCAGAAGAAGCACCGGCUAACUCCGUG